rnacentral:rRNA from 1 species
GACAGAGGGUGCGAACGUUGUUCGGAAUUACUGGGCGUAAAGCGCGUGUAGGCGGUCGUGCAAGUCGGGUGUGAAAGCCCUGGGCUCAACCCAGGAAGUGCAUUCGAUACUGCGCGACUGGAGUCCCGGAGAGGAUGGUGGAACUCUCGGUGUAGAGGUGAAAUUCGUAGAUAUCGAGAAGAACACCGGUGGCGAAGGCGGGUCUCUGGGCCGAUACUGACGCUGAGGAGCGAAAGCGUGGGGAGCGAACAGG